AAUAACCAACAUUUAAUUAAAACCCACACCCCACUGUGUGAAUAUUUGUUUGUAAGUAAUACACAUAUAUUACUACAUUAAUAUAAUAAAGAUAGAUAAAAUAGAAAUUGAUGGAGUAGAAAUGCAAAGCAGGUAGAAAAAGUAAACGUAAGUAGAAGAGCUCAUAUUUUCCCCAGGCACAUGGAUGAUCUGAUGUACCUUACUUUGGAGGCCACUGCUCUAGGGACUGGGGACUCAAGCACAGUCCCAGUCCAUGAGGAGCUGAUGAAAAUCAACACCAAGGCUUAUAUAAGACACUUCCCAAUUUUCAAAGGGCUUUUAUACAUAGCAUGUACUUAUAGCUACUAUUUAUAUACAUUAUUUUAUUUGACUUAUGAAAUAGUCGGGGCAAGUCUUAUUGUCUCCAUUUUACCAGGGAAGAAAGUGAGGCUGAGGGAGGCUCAGACCCUGCCCAGGUUCUUCCUGACGCACUGAGAAUCUUUUCUCAUCCUCUUGGAUGUGCUUCCCUGGGCUGCGUGGCUGCGUGGGCACAUGCACCUGUGUAUUCUGAGCACCACCCAGGACUUCAACCCUGCUACUAGGAGAAACAACCUCUCAGCCUCCCAAACAGCACCUCCACCCUGGCAUCCAGCUGGUCCCCGGCCUCCCUCCCUUCCCCCACCCAGUCCGCCUCUGCUGUCUUUGCAGAUGCCAUUGGCCUGCAGCCAGAUGCCCGUGGUGUGGCCACAUCUCUGGGGCUCAAUGAGCGUCUCUUUGUUGUCAACCCACAGGAAGUGCAUGAGCUGAUCCCACACCCUGACCAGCUGGGGCCCACUGUGGGCUCUGCUGAGGGGCUGGACCUGGUGAGUGCCAAGGACCUGGCAGGCCAGCUGACGGACCACGACUGGAGCCUCUUCAACAGUAUCCACCAGGUGGAGCUGAUCCACUAUGUGCUGGGCCCCCAGCAUCUGCGGGAUGUCACCACCGCCAACCUGGAGCGCUUCAUGUGCCGCUUCAAUGAGCUGCAGUACUGGGUGGCCACCGAGCUGUGUCUCUGCCCCGUGCCCGGCCCCCGAGCCCAGCUGCUCAGGAAGUUCAUUAAGCUGGCGGCCCACCUCAAGGAGCAGAAGAAUCUCAAUUCCUUCUUUGCCGUCAUGUUUGGCCUCAGCAACUCGGCCAUCAGCCGCCUAGCCCACACCUGGGAGCGGCUGCCUCACAAAGUCCGGAAGCUGUACUCCGCCCUCGAGAGGCUGCUGGAUCCCUCAUGGAACCACCGGGUGUACCGACUGGCCCUCGCCAAGCUCUCCCCUCCUGUCAUCCCCUUCAUGCCCCUUCUUCUCAAAGACAUGACCUUCAUUCAUGAGGGAAACCACACACUAGUGGAGAAUCUCAUCAACUUUGAGAAGAUGAGAAUGAUGGCCAGAGCCGCGCGGAUGCUGCACCACUGCCGAAGCCACAACCCUGUGCCUCUCUCACCACUCAGAAGCCGAGUUUCCCACCUCCACGAGGACAGCCAGGUGGCGAGGAUUUCCACAUGCUCGGAGCAGUCCCUGAGCACCCGGAGUCCAGCCAGCACCUGGGCUUAUGUCCAGCAGCUGAAGGUCAUUGACAACCAGCGGGAACUCUCCCGCCUCUCCCGAGAGCUGGAGCCAUGAGGAGGGGCUGGGACUGGAGCUGGAGCAGGCACUUGCAGCCAGGAAAGCCAGGGUGUGCCGGGCCAAGAUACUCACAGGCUGGCCACAGCUGGGCAAGGCUCUCCGUGGAGUGGACUCGAGUCCCUGGAGCAGGCAGUGUGGAGGCAGCCAUCCCCUGUGAUGACUGGCAGCUAAGGAGGACCUCGGAGUGGACCUGAGCCAGGAAUAACGAAUGACCCAAGGCCAAGGAAGGGAGGACAGAGAGACCCCAGGAGUGGGUGGAGAGUGGAGUGCGCUGGGACGUUGUGUGCAAUAGAGAGCUCUCCACACC
rnacentral:sRNA from 1 species